rnacentral:piRNA from 1 species
UAUCUCUGUUGAAAUUAACAU